rnacentral:rRNA from 1 species
ACGGGAGGCAGCAGUGAGGAAUAUUGGUCAAUGGAGGCAACUCUGAACCAGCCAUCUCGCGUGAAGGAUUACGGCCCUAUGGAUCUUAAACUUCUUUUAUAGGGGGGUAAAGUGAGAUACGCGUAUCUUUUUGUAGGUACCCUAUGAAUAAGCAUCGGCUAACUCCGUGCCAGCAGCCGCGGUAAUACGGAGGAUCCGAGCGUUAUCCGGAUUUAUUGGGUUUAAAGGGUGCGCAGGCGGCCCGUUAAGUCAGCGGUGAAAUGCAGGGGCUAAACCCCGGCACUGCCGUUGAAACUGGCGAGCUCGAGUACGGAUGAAGUCGGCGGAAUGUGAUGUGUAGCGGUGAAAUGCUUAGAUAUGUCAAAGAACACCGAUUGCGAAGGCAGCUGACUAAGCCGCAACUGACGCUCAGGCACGAAAGUGGGGGGAUCGAACAGGAUUAGAUACCCUGGUA